CGAUAAUUCCGCGGUCACACUGCUUGCGUGCUUUUUUGGUCUUUGCGAAGAGUUUAAUUGAAAAUGGAACAAAAAUAGAUCAUGAUAAAUAUGUAAAAAGUAGUGCAAUAAGGUAGUUAACGAAGCGCUCGAAAAAUCAACUAAUAUACACACCGCUCCGCUAUUAGUUAGUUGCAAAAUUGAAGUCGGUCCUAGUGUGAGUGUGUGAAACUGUGUCUGUUCGUGCGUGCGUGUGAGUGUAUGAGUGAAAAAAAUGAGGCGUAGUGAAAAUGCGUGCAAAACUGUCUAAAAGCUUGAUCUGAUUACGAAUUACGACCUGGCAGCCUGCCCUUAUCGGGAAGCACCCGAAGAAAUGUGCUGUAAAUGUUCAAAACGCGCGCUGACCGGUUAAAUCAAAUCUUCAUUAACAGAAUUUAACUACAACACAAAAAAGCGACUCGUUUGUUGUUGAUUUUGCCUUUUGUUGUUCCUCACCGGGGCCGGAAUGUGAGAAGGAAAAAACUAUCAACAAAUUGAACAGAAAACAAUACACACAAUUGGUCCACGUUUGUUGGAGAAAAAUGUUGAAGCGUGUGGUCUUGUCAAAUGGUAUUGGCAAAAGAAAUUGUUUAACAAGAGAUAUUUAACGUAGAACAAAACUUCCCUUCGAAACGUGCGAGGGGAGUUUAAAACAAAAUAGCCCGCCUUUUGACACAUACCUAAACACAUACACAUCUACACCCCCCAUACAAAAUUUAAUACAAAUUUCAUGAAAUUUCUACAAAAAUAAUAGAAAUAAACCAUAAAAUUCAAAGAAAUGCUGCUCAAAUUUCAUAUUUAAUGUCAAACGACGUCCUCACAGCAACAACAACAGCUGCUGCUAAAACGGGAAAAGGAACAGGAAUAACUGUAAGCUAGCACAGCCUAUAGCGUGGGAGAGGGAGCGGGAGCGACGACGACCGACGCACACCUGUACUCUUCAGCUGGAGAGCGGCCGGAUAGAGAAAGAGAGAUCCAGCGUAAACGUACGUGUGUGUUGGCCGCAUGCGCGACAUGCGUGAACGUUAAGUGAGUGUGUGUGUACGUGCAUGUCCGUGCGUGUCCGACAUUCGGGUCUCUCAGUGCCCCCGUACCCUGUGUCUGUAUCUGAUCCAACAGAUCCUCCAGCUAAUCUCGGAUCACUCUUACCGAUCGAAAAACAACACCAGCAACAGCAGGGAGAAGGAAACAGCAGGCAGCACCACCAAUCCAACAAUAGUACCAGUUCCAAUUUGCCGAUACAAAAAAUUCGCUAUCAAAAUUCAGUAGAAAGUGAUUAAUAAUUUUUGAAUCGAAUUUCAAAGAGCCUGUCGUCAGAGCUGCAAUCAUUAAUACAACAAAAUAAACAAAAACCAAUACCAACAUGCAGCGACGUGAACGGCAAGCCAGG